AUGAGCCGAGAUCCCCGUUACUACGAGCCCGAUCCUAUAAAAGCCCCGCGCGCUGCGGACAGCGCAGCACCGACACCGGCGCCGGCCCCGCCGGGAGCCGCGGGGCCCCUGCCCGGCCCGGCAGCCGCGGGGGCCCGCAGGAGGUAAGGCACCGGCUGGGCUGGCCCCCAGACACCGACCCCCCCACGGCGGACGCCCCCCCGCCUUCCCGCUGCAGCCCAGAGUCCUUAAAAAUAUCCUGGAUUCCUGACACCGGGACUUGUCUUCCAACGGUGCUUCCAAGCCACCGGGCCUGGGGCCAGCUGUGAGCGCCGAGGGACAGAGGCCGUCCAGCUCUCGUGCUCCUCCGAGAUCACAGCGGUGCUGGGAAGGAGUAUGGUGCUGAGGAAGAUCACAGCCCCUGCCAUGGCUGAGUUGUUACUCGCCACUUCCACGGUGGAAUGGUGCUCAGCAGGGCACAGGCAGGGCACAAACACUGCCUUGCCUCAGCAAUGCUCCCAGUGGCUUCGGCGCGUGUUCCUGCGCACAGCCAGGAGCGUGGGAAGGGUCUUUCAGGGACCUCCAGCAGCCGUGACCCUACAGAACCCCACAGCUGAGGACUGGGCAGUGGCGAGGGUCCCAAGGUACUGUUCCAGAUGGGAUUUCCCUGUGCAUCCCCAGGACAGCACGUGGUCCCAGAAAACUUCUGGCUGAAGCCUGUGACCCACUCCUGGCUUUGCCAAGAAGCAUGCUGGCACCGUGGGAAUUUGGAGUGGUCCGGGGUGGGGAGGGGGGGCUGAGCCAGUGUGGCUGGUGGGGGGUGCAGGGAGAGGUGCUGCUGCCCCCCCAAAGGCCGGGCAGCUGCCCACCGGUCGCACACACUGCUGUUGCCAUCUGACAGCUCUUGGCGAAACGGCCUUUUGUGAUUCAGCCGUGUUUAUCCCAGCCCGCGGCCCGGCCCAGCGUGGGUUUCCAUGGAAAACUUCCAUCCAAAACAAGGAGAGAAGGAGCUACAGCAGGAGUGACUCAGCCACAACUGGAAGCUUCUGCGGGUGAAGCAGGGAAGGGGGGGCUGUUCCCAGCGGCUUGGUCCUGCUCCGGCAGCAGGGCCUGGGGCUGGUCCCUGGCUCUCCCCUGCCCGUGCUGCUGCCUCCUUGCAGGCAGGAGCCAGGCAGCUUUGGGGGAAACUGCGUGAUAUGACAGUCUGCAAAACACAUCACCCUCCCAAAGCGCCCCCUCCCCACGCCAGCGCCAGGCCCUGCUGGUGGAGAUGGGAGGAAGAGCGUGAGAUGAGUAAGGCUCAAACCCUGCACCCGGUGCCAGGCUUGGUGGGACGUCUCUUUCUCCAACGCUGCCCACAGGAGCCCCUGCCUGUGCCUGGUGUGCCCCAUAUGGGUGAUGGCAGGGUGGGCAGCGGAGGAGACCCCGAGCUGACGGUGACACAGGGGGAAGGGGUGCGGAGAGCCAGGGAAGAGGUGGUGGGAGUUUGUGGGGAGGCAGCAGAGCUGGCAGAGGCUCUGCUUGUGCUGGUCUUCUCCCACCCUCCCUGGGAUGCUGGGAGAGGGCUGGGGGCUCUGCUCACCUGGGAGGGGAGAGCAAAGCCCUUCCCUGCCCAGCCUCAGCCCCCGUAGCCACGGCAGGCUCCUCACAAGCAGGGCCAUAGGCAGGGCCCAUCCCUGGGGUCACCCAGGUGACUCUGAUGGCUGUGCUGGGGUAUGGAAAGGGCCCACCUAGGGAGAAGAGGGAUGACACUCCCCCUGCCAAAACAUCCAGGCUCCCGGUGCUGCUGGGUAACACCAGUGGCUAUCCCCAGGGCCCCCUUGUCCCAAGCCAGUGGCAUGGCUGCCACCCAGAGCCUGGGCUCGCUCCAUUACCCCCUCAUGCAGCAACAGCAACUGCUCCAGACUGUUCUGGGGAAAAAACCGACUCCCCUGGGUGGGUGGGAGAAGAGGAAACCCCCCAACAGCAAAGUGAAUGAGGGAUGGGUGGGCAUCAGUCAGUCUUGUCUCCAGGCAGCUGAGCGCUGUGGCUGCAUCCCAAGGACAGACUUGGAUCUGCAAGAGAGGCAGAGGCCAGCCCGAGGGCAUCUCGCCAGCAGAAAAGGAGGGAGAGGGAAGGAUUCCCAGGGCAAACCCCUCCGUCCGGCAGGGACACGCAGUGACAGCCGCGGGAGCCGCUUCCCUCCUCCCAUCACACCAGGGCCCAGCAGGACCUCCCUCCGCUGCUCACACAGGCACCUCUCGCGGACAAGGGUCGCGUUUCUCUCUUUUUAUUAGUUUAUUUUAACCCGGCACAGGAGCCAACCGGCAGAAGCCAUCUUUAAGCAGACCCUGGGAAGAGAGAGGCAGGUACUGCAGCACCCCAGCUCGGGUCACCCCUCCCUCCCCAGCCCACCCGAGGGAGCCGCCCGCAGAGCCGGCACCGCGCUGCUCACUCACCGCACCCUGGGCUCCUUCCCCAUCCCGCCGCCAGCGAGCUGCCAAGUGCCUCCCUGUGCCCGGGAGCUGCCGGGGGUCGGCGGUGCGGGGCCGCAGUGCGGGCGGGCGGCCAUGGCUGCGGUGCCUCCGCCGCGCCGGGCGAUCGCCGCGGGGCCGGAGCUCGGCGGUAAUUAAAGAGCUACCGGUGGGCUUGGCGAGCGCGGCUGCUGCCGUCCCUCCACAGCUGCCCAGGGCUGAGGAGGCAGAGCAGAGAGACAAAAGCGCCAGUGCUUUGUCCCAGCUGGUCGCUGUGUUCGGCCGGAGCUGCUGCUGCUGCAGCCCUCCCCCCAAAACAGCCUCUCCGAUGUGGUCACCAAGGAGUGCAGACAUCCCACACCUUAAAACGAGCUGUGAUACAGCCCAGCUGAAGUGGCCAAGCCGGCCACCACUGCCCAAACUCCCCCAGGACAUCAGCCUGGGGCUGGGCUGCAGAGAAACUGCCUCAUCCUCCUGACACCACCACCAUUGUGCUGCUGAGUAACCAGCAACAAAACAGAAGGUAAAAACCUCCCAGGGCUGAGAACUACUCAUUUCUGCUGCGUUGGUUUAACCUGUGGCAGCUCCCAGGCCUGUUCCCAGCUGAGGGAACAUGGGAAGGGCUUCAGCCCUUGCCCCUCUGCCUGUUCCUGUUGUCCUCUGGCCCUUGCACGGAUGACAUUGCACUGCCCUGCCGCUCAGGCAGGGGGAAAAUGAAGAAUUUACACCUGAUUUCUCUCUUUUGCCAACCAAAAACCCCUAAGGAAAGCUGUGGUUAGAGAAGACCUUGAAGCACGGCCCUGGCUUGACCCUGGUGCCCGGCCUGCCCCAGCACUGUACUGGGCGGCAGCCAAGCAGGGCACCUUCACCUGUAACAGCAAUAAAGGUUCCCAUAUGCUUCUGGAAAAUAUUAUCAAA